GUAGGUGGCAAGCGUUGUCCGGGAAUUAUUGGGGCGUAAAGCGCGCGCAGGCGGUUCUUUAAGUCUGAUGUGAAAGCCCACGGGCUCAACCGUGGAGGGUCGUUGGAAACUGGAGAACUUGAGUACAGAAGAGGAAAGCGGAAUUCCACGUGUAGCGGUGAAAUGCGUAGAGAUGUGGAGGAACACCAGUGGCGAAGGCGGCUUUCUGGUCUGUAACUGACGCUGAGGCGCGAAAGCGUGGGGAGCAAACAGGAUUAGAUACCCUGGUAGUCCACGCCGUAAACGAUGAGUGCUAAGUGUUAGGGGGUUUCCGCCCCUUAGUGCUGCAGCUAACGCAUUAAGCACUCCGCCUGUGGAGUACGGCCGCAAAGGCUG
rnacentral:rRNA from 1 species